rnacentral:rRNA from 1 species
GUGGGGAAUAUUGGACAAUGGGGGCAACCCUGAUCCAGCCAUGCCGCGUGAGUGAUGAAGGCCCUAGGGUUGUAAAGCUCUUUUGUGCGGGAAGAUAAUGACGGUACCGCAAGAAUAAGCCCCGGCUAACUUCGUGCCAGCAGCCGCGGUAAUACGAAGGGGGCUAGCGUUGCUCGGAAUCACUGGGCGUAAAGCGCACGUAGGCGGACUUUUAAGUCAGGGGUGAAAUCCUGGAGCUCAACUCCAGAACUGCCUUUGAUACUGGAAGUCUCGAGUUCGGGAGAGGUGAGUGGAACUGCGAGUGUAGAGGUGAAAUUCGUAGAUAUUCGCAAGAACACCAGUGGCGAAGGCGGCUCACUGGCCCGAUACUGACGCUGAGGUGCGAAAGCGUGGGGAGCAAACAGGAUUAGAAACCCCAGUAGUCC